GCCGGGCGUGGUGGCACAUGCCUGUAAUCCCAGCUACUCAGGAGGCUGAGGCAGGAGAAUCACUUGAACCUGGGAGGCGGAGGUUGCAGUGAGCCAAGAUGGCACCACUGCACUCUAGCCUGGGUGACAGAGCGAGAUUCUGUCUCAA
rnacentral:sRNA from 1 species